rnacentral:rRNA from 1 species
UACGUAGGGGGCAAGCGUUGUCCGGAUUUAUUGGGCGUAAAGAGCGUGUAGGCGGCUGGGUAGGUCCGUUGUGAAAACUCGAGGCUCAACCUCGAGACGCCGAUGGAAACUCUCCAGCUAGAGUCCGGAAGAGGAGAGUGGAAUUCCUGGUGUAGCGGUGAAAUGCGCAGAUAUCAGGAAGAACACCCGUGGCUAAGGCGGCUCUCUAGUACGGUACUGACGCUGAGACGCGAAAGCGUGGGGAGCGAACAGG